AUUGAACGCUGGCGGCAGGCCUAACACAUGCAAGUCGAGCGGGGUUUUCGGACCUAGCGGCGGACGGGUGAGUAAUGCGUAGGAAGCUACCCGAUAGAGGGGGAUACCAGUUGGAAACGACUGUUAAUACCGCAUAAUGUCUACGGACCAAAGUGUGGGACCUUCGGGCCACAUGCUAUCGGAUGCGCCUACGUGGGAUUAGCUAGUUGGUGAGGUAAUGGCUCACCAAGGCGACGAUCCCUAGCUGGUUUGAGAGGAUGAUCAGCCACACUGGAACUGAGACACGGUCCAGACUCCUACGGGAGGCAGCAGUGGGGAAUAUUGGACAAUGGGCGCAAGCCUGAUCCAGCCAUGCCGCGUGUGUGAAGAAGGCCUUCGGGUUGUAAAGCACUUUCAGUAGGGAGGAAGCGUUGAGUGUUAAUAGUACUCAGCGUUGACGUUACCUACAGAAGAAGCGCCGGCUAACUCUGUGCCAGCCGCCGCAGUAAGUC
rnacentral:rRNA from 1 species